GACGAACGCUGGCGGCGUGCUUAACACAUGCAAGUCGAACGGAAAGGCCCUGCUUUUGUGGGGUGCUCGAGUGGCGAACGGGUGAGUAACACGUGAGUAACCUGCCCUUGACUUUGGGAUAACUUCAGGAAACUGGGGCUAAUACCGGAUAGGAGCUCCUGCUGCAUGGUGGGGGUUGGAAAGUUUCGGCGGUUGGGGAUGGACUCGCGGCUUAUCAGCUUGUUGGUGGGGUAGUGGCUUACCAAGGCUUUGACGGGUAGCCGGCCUGAGAGGGUGACCGGCCACAUUGGGACUGAGAUACGGCCCAGACUCAUACGGGAGGCAGCAGUGGGGACUAUUGCGCGCUGGGCGGAAGCCUGAUGCAGCAACGCCGCGUGCGGGAUGACGGCCUUCGGGUUGUAAACCGCUUUCGCCUGUGACGAAGCGUGAGUGACGGUAAUGGGUAAAGAAGCACCGGCUAACUACGU
rnacentral:rRNA from 1 species